rnacentral:miRNA from 1 species
AACUAAGUUUGUUACUGGUAUGAGCUUUCAUGUGCAUGUACACUUCUUCAGAUACAAUGAAACAGAAGUCACCAGUCUGAAGUUUGAAGAAUUGUGCAUGCACACGAAAACUCAUACCAAUAACAAACUUAGUUGC